GAUUGCAGUCUGCAACUCGACUGCAUGAAGCCGGAAUCGCUAGUAAUCGCGGAUCAGAAUGCCGCGGUGAAUACGUUCCCGGGUCUUGUACACACCGCCCGUCACACCAUGGGAGUCGGAAAUGCCCGAAGCCGGUGGCCUAACCCAUAAGGGAGGAGCCGUCGAAGGCAGGUCUGAUGACUGGGGUGAAGUCGUAACAAGGUAGC
rnacentral:rRNA from 1 species